AGUCAUAUUAUGAGACUAUAAUGAGUUAACCCACAAUAUGGCGGGAGAUACUACUACAUGUAUCUUUGAUGCAUUUAAUGUUCUUAAUUUCUUUUUCAUUUUUAUUAAUUUAUUUAUUAAACAGGUUGAUAGGUCUCUUAAAGAAUUUGAUGGUGGUGGAUUAUUAUCAGUUAGUAGCAUAUUUAUACUUUAUUGUUCUCAUCUCUCUCCUCCUAUCCUUUUUUAUUUUUCUCUCUUGUCCAUAUCAAUGUUAAAUAUAAUUAAUCUAUUCCUGAGGUCAAUCCUUAUCGGGCUAGUAGCCUAUUUUUUUCUACAGCCACCUGAUCAUCAGUCACCUAUACAAUUUCAAAGUUGUUCAGUGUGUUCUAAUUUAUGAUAUCAUUUGCAAGUUAUUGGAUAGUUUAACUGAGAGAGAUCUGGAUCUACUGGUACUGAUAUUGAAGACGAAAAAUUUUGGAGGGAGU